rnacentral:rRNA from 1 species
AGAGUUUGAUCCUGGCUCAGAUUGAACGCUGGCGGCAGGCCUAACACAUGCAAGUCGAGCGGCAGCGGGAAAGUAGCUUGCUACUUUUGCCGGCGGGCGGCGGACGGGUGAGUAAUGCCUGGGGAUCUGCCCAGUCGAGGGGGAUAACUACUGGAAACGGUAGCUAAUACCGCAUACGCCCUACGGGGGAAAGCAGGGGACCUUCGGGCCUUGCGCGAUUGGAUGAACCCAGGUGGGAUUAGCUAGUUGGUGAGGUAUUGGCUCCCCGGGGCGACGAUCCCUAGUUGGUCAGAAAGGAUGAUCACCCAAAAUGGAACUGAGACACGGUCCAAACUCCUACGGGAGGCCGCAGUGGGGAAUAUUUGCACAAUGGGGCAAACCCUGAUACAGCCAUACCGCGUGUGUGAAGAAGGCCUUCGGGAAAAAAAGCACUUUCAGCGAGGAGGAAAGGUUGGUAGCUAAUAACUGCCAGCCGUGACGUUACUCGCAGAAGAAGCACCGGCUAACUCCGUGCCAGCAGCCGCGGUAAUACGGAGGGUGCAAGCGUUAAUCGGAAUUACUGGGCGUAAAGCGCACGCAGGCGGUUGGAUAAGUUAGAUGUGAAAGCCCCGGGCUCAACCUGGGAAUUGCAUUUAAAACUGUCCAGCUAGAGUCUUGUAGAGGGGGGUAGAAUUCCAGGUGUAGCGGUGAAAUGCGUAGAGAUCAGAAGGAAUACCGGUGGCGAAGGCGGCCCCCUGGACAAAGACUGACGCUCAGGUGCGAAAGCGUGGGGAGCAAAAAGGCCUAGAUACCCUGGUAGUCCACGCCGUAAACG